AAUGUGUUGGCUAUGAAAUUAUUGGUGUGAAAUACGGAAGAAGGCCAAGGGAAAAAAUUGGAAUUUCGGAAAUUAGCCUCGGGAAUUUUAAAUUAGCCAUAAGUAAUUGGGCUUGGGGAAUCAAAAAAAAAAAAGAAAGAGAAGGCCCAAAUAUGCAAAGGGUGGCCGGCCAUGGUAAUUAAAAUGGCCCAAGCCCACAAUAAAUUUAACUCAUGUAUUAAUAAGAAGAUGAUCCAUAAUUCUUUCCUUUUCAAGAAGUUUCAAGAACAUAAAAUUGAGAGGAAAAAAAAAGAAGGCCUACGGCCAAGAAGAGAAAGAGAAAAGAAAAGAAAAAAAAAAUCUUGGAGUUAAAUCCUUGGUUCAAAAAUCCAUUUCUUGUGGGAUUAUUACUAAGUGCAAGAUUCUCUACAACUUGGUACAAUUAUUUUGGCAAGAAACUAUCUUUGGUAGCAAGGAGAAUUUGUUGGUAAAAAGAUUCUGGACGAGAUUGGAAUCGAAGCCAAGCGAGCGUAAGGCGCAAUCGAGGUACAGACGCACCUGAAGAUACGCCGCCAGUCUAGGGCUCAGAUUCUGCUAUUUUGAAGAGCUCCUUUGGUCCGGAGCGUGUACUUUUGGUAUAUAUCUUCUGUCUUCUGUAUAUUCUGUAUGUAUGGCAACUCCGGGUACGGCGGGGCCCUGUCCCGUCAUAUGACUCUGUCGGUCUGUUUAGAGGUCUGUGGACAUGUUUGUGGGUUAGGGUCUUUCUGUACGGAUGUGUGUA